rnacentral:rRNA from 1 species
GACGAACGCUGGCGGCGUGCUUAACACAUGCAAGUCGAACGGAAAGGCCCUGCUUUUGUGGGGUGCUCGAGUGGCGAACGGGUGAGUAACACGUGAGUAACCUGCCCUUGACUUUGGGAUAACUUCAGGAAACUGGGGCUAAUACCGGAUAGGAGCUCCUGCUGCAUGGUGGGGGUUGGAAAGUUUCGGCGGUUGGGGAUGGACUCGCGGCUUAUCAGCUUGUUGGUGGGGUAGUGGCUUACCAAGGCUUUGACGGGUAGCCGGCCUGAGAGGGUGACCGGCGACAUUGGGACUGAGAUACGGACCAGACUGCUACGGGAGGCAGCAGGGGGGAAUAUGGCGCAAUGGGCGGAAGCCUGAGGCAGCAACGCCGCGUGCGGGAUGACGGCCUUCGGGUUGUAAACCGCUUUCGCCUGUGACGAAGCGUGAGUGACGGUAAUGGGUAAAGAAGCACCGGCUAACUACGUG